rnacentral:rRNA from 1 species
CAGCCGCCGCGGUAAUACAGAGGGUGCGAGCGUUAAUCGGAUUUACUGGGCGUAAAGCGCACGUAGGCGGAUACUUAAGUCAGGGGUGAAAUCCCGGGGCUCAACCCCGGAACUGCCUUUGAUACUGGGUAUCUCGAGUCCGGAAGAGGUGAGUGGAAUUCCGAGUGUAGAGGUGAAAUUCGUAGAUAUUCGGAGGAACACCAGUGGCGAAGGCGGCUCACUGGUCCGGUACUGACGCUGAGGCACGAAAGCGUGGGGAGCAAACAGGAUUAGAUACCCCGGUAGUCCCUGUCUCUUAUAC